CGGUAAAUGAUGAAGGAGUUUGUCUUGUUUGGAGGUGUAUGGAUUGGUAUAUGCAAGGUGGAGGGAUGUGUUCCCUGAUGAGGUUUAUGCUGACCCUUAAGAGGCGUCAGCGUGAUGCUUAAUAUAAUGAUCUUAUCUUAGAGGUUAAGGACGCACUUUAGUACGGGACUAUUUUGAUUGGAAGCUAAUUGCCCUUUGCCUUGGUCCACUCAGUAAUCAUGUCAUCACGCUGCUUCAUAUUGAAACGGGCCAUGUUUUUGUACUGAUAGCUAAACACAUGGAGAAAUAUCUGGUUGAGUCUUACUUAGUUUGUACUCAACAAAGAAGCACUGUUUCUUUUUUGUUGGUAAAUCAAGUGAAGUACCUCCAAGCUUUAGCUAGCCUGAAAAUUUUACUGCUAUUUUAUGAUGGAAAAAUGUCUGUAGUUUUCACA